GACGAACGCUGGCGGCGUGCUUAACACAUGCAAGUCGAACGGAAAGGCCCUGCUUUUGUGGGGUGCUCGAGUGGCGAACGGGUGAGUAACACGUGAGUAACCUGCCCUUGACUUUGGGAUAACUUCAGGAAACUGGGGCUAAUACCGGAUAGGAGCUCCUGCUGCACGGUGGGGGUUGGAAAGUUUCGGCGGUUGGGGAUGGACUCGCGGCUUAUCAGCUUGUUGGUGGGGUAGUGGCUUACCAAGGCUUUGACGGGUAGCCGGCCUGAGAGGGUGACCGGCCACAUUGGGACUGAGAUACGGCCCAGACUCCUACGGGAGGCAGGAGUGGGGAAUAUUGCACAAUGGGCGGAAGCCUGAUGCAGCAACGCCGCGUGCGGGAUGGCGGCCUUCGGGUUGUAAACCGCUUUCGCCUGUGACGAAGCGUGGGUGACGGUAAUGGGUAAAGAAGCACCGGCUAACUACGG
rnacentral:rRNA from 1 species